GUCUAUAAUCUAUAAUAAUUAUUAAUUAUAAUUUAAUAAUCUUAUAACAGACACAAGUCUGUUAUGGUUUGCUACUACAUACCAAAAGGGGGCGCUAGUAUACUCAAGUAUGAGGUAUAAAUCAAGGUACGUAGUAGAAGAAGACUUGGAGCAUGGCUUACCUGCUGCAUCGUCUCAAGUCAAGAUGUCCUGAUUGAGAAACUUUUGGUUUCCUGCUCAAUCGAAAAGGACUCCUUGAACAUUGUAUGUGAAAUUAUGGUGUAAUUCAUUGGAAGCAGAGAUCAAGUGGAUUUCUGUUCUAUCCUGAACUUUGUUGGCAUCGCUUGUGGAUCCUGUGGGAUUUUGCACACAAGGAUUAAGAUCAACUUCUUUCUAUGUGAUUUUCUUGAUGGAUUUUUGGGAGAUUAUUUUUCUUCUGGGAUUUUUCUACAUGCACGGAUUUUUUUGCUUUACCUCAAACUACAAGGAACAAUUUCAUCAACGGACAAUCUUUAACAAAUUGUCUUGCAGUCAUCAGUCUCCCAAUAUAACUCCUUAUCUGAAUUAAUUUGUUUGUUUGUUCAGUUGUUGGUUUUUGGUGCUAUACUUUCAUAUGGUAUAUAAACUAUUCAUGACGCUUAA